rnacentral:rRNA from 1 species
CGUUUAUUCCGAUUGCUCUGACGUUAGGCUCGCUAGCGUCGAGCAUUCACCUGAUGCUUAGCUCUACUAUAGUAUCCGGUACACACAGUCGCACUUGUUGACGCGGUGAGCGUACGCGAACAGAUCAUCGUAGUCGUGCAAUGCAGUGAUAGUGAUCUGCAUCGACAUACGCAGUUGUCUGGUCCGCUGUCCAUCUCCAGAGCGCUGAGGCAUGACAGUCUGGGGAGUGGACGCAGAUCAGAGUCCCGCCGUAGUUGUUGCAGUUCACGAUCCCUCAUUUAUAGAAGACGUUAUUUGUUUCCAGGUACGUCACCAUGCUAAGCAAGGCGCCAUGGUUGUCCGAUAGCUAGAUUUAAGCUCAAAGGUUUCGAGGGGGAAGGCAUCCAGCCGCGUAGCAUGCGGUUUAAUUCGAAUGAAAGCGGAAAACCUCUGCAGGAUUUGUCAUUGAUCUACUAGUGGAAGGAAACGUGUAACCUUCGAGGGAUAUCGACAGAUCCUGCUUUUCUGUGGUCAAAUGGGGGCGUGAGCUGUACCCUUUAAUUGGACAACGAGCGCCACCCGCACCGUAUUUUAAAUAAUUCAUGAGGAACUGCCUUGUAAGAGGAGGAAGGCGCGGAUGACGUCAAGUCAGCACGGCUCUUACAUCCUGGGCUACACACAUCCUACAAGGGGGAAAAACAAUGAGCUGCAAACCGGUAACGGCAAGCAAAUCUCUCAAAUUUCGCCCCAGUUCAGAUUGGGGUCUGCAAUUCGACCCCAUGAAGUCGGAAUUGCUAGUAAUCGCGAAUCAGCAGGUCGCGGUGAAUACGUUCUCGCCUCUCGUACACACCGCCCGUCAAGGCAGCAAAGUUGGGGGUACCCGAAUGGCCCUACAGGGUCAGAAGGUAAAACCAGCGACGAAGCUUAAGUCGUAACAAGGUAACCAAGGACGAAGCGCGGCCGCCAAAUCAAUAGCGCCACAUC